GACGUAGGGCGCAAGCGUUGUCCGGAAUUAUUGGGCGUAAAGAGCUCGUAGGCGGUCUGUCGCGUCCGUUGUGAAAACUCGAGGCUCAACCUCGGGCUUGCAGUGGAUACGGGCAGACUAGAGUGCGGUAGGGGAGACUGGAAUUCCUGGUGUAGCGGUGGAAUGCGCAGAUAUCAGGAGGAACACCGAUGGCGAAGGCAGGUCUCUGGGCCGCAACUGACGCUGAGGAGCGAAAGCAUGGGGGAGCGAACAGG
rnacentral:rRNA from 1 species